GAUGAACGCUAGCGGCAGGCUUAAUACAUGCAAGUCGAACGGAGGUAGCAGCAAUGUUACUUUAGUGGCGCACGGGUGAGUAACGCGUACAUAACAUGCCUUGUACUGAGGGAUAGCCUUGGGAAACUGGGAGUAAUACCUCAUGGUAUUGGGAUUCUGCAUGGGAUUCCAAUUAAAGUUUUAAUGGUACGAGAUUGGUGUGCGUAAGAUUAGGUAGUUGGUGGGGUAACGGCCUACCAAGCCUACGAUCUUUAGGGGGCGUGAGAGCGUGGUCCCCCACACGGGUACUGAGACACGGACCCGACUCCUACGGGAGGCAGCAUUAGGGAAUAUUGGUCAAUGGAGGCAACUCUGAACCAGCCAUGCCGCGUGAACGAUGACGGCGCUAUGCGUUGUAAAGUUCUUUUAAAUAGGAAGAGAACCCUCAAUUUUUUGGGGACUGACGGUACUAUUGGAAUAAGCACCGGCUAACUCCGUGCCAGCCGCCGCGGUAAUAC
rnacentral:rRNA from 1 species